rnacentral:rRNA from 1 species
CCAGGGGGAGAUUCCGUAGGGUGACCUGCGGAGGGAUCAUUACCGAGUUUACAACUCCCAAACCCAAUGUGAACGUUACCAAACUGUUGCCUCGGCGGGAUCUCUGCCCCGGGUGCGUCGCAGCCCCGGACCAAGGCGCCCGCCGGAGGACCAACCAAAACUCUUAUUGUAUACCCCCUCGCGGGUUUUUUUAUAAUCUGAGCCUUCUCGGCGCCUCUCGUAGGCGUUUCGAAAAUGAAUCAAAACUUUCAACAACGGAUCUCUUGGUUCUGGCAUCGAUGAAGAACGCAGCGAAAUGCGAUAAGUAAUGUGAAUUGCAGAAUUCAGUGAAUCCUCGAAUCUUUGAACGCACAUUGCGCCCGCCAGUAUUCUGGCGGGCAUGCCUGUCCGAGCGUCAUUUCAACCCUCGAACCCCUCCGGGGGGUCGGCGUUGGGGAUCGGCCCUGCCUUGGCGGUGGCCGUCUCCGAAAUACAGUGGCGGUCUCGCCGCAGCCUCUCCUGCGCAGUAGUUUGCACACUGGCAUCGGGAGCGCGGCGCGUCCACAGCCGUUAAACACCCAACUUCUGAAAUGUGACCUCGGAUCAUGAGGAUGCCAGUGGAAUCCCC